UACGAAGGGGGCUAGCGUUGUUCGGAAUUACUGGGCGUAAAGCGCGCGCAGGCGGUCCUUCAAGUCAGAGGUGAAAGCCCAGAGCUCAACUCUGGAACGGCCUUUGAGACUAGAGGACUUGGGUACGGGAGAGGUGAGUGGAAUUCCGAGUGUAGAGGUGAAAUUUGAUAAAUUUAGAGAGAAUACCAAUGGCGUAGGCAACUACCUAGGCCUUAACUGACACUGAGGUGCGAAGGUAUGGGUAGCAAAUAGG
rnacentral:rRNA from 1 species